UACGGAGGGUGCAAACGUUGCUCGGAAUCAUUGGGCGUAAAGCGCACGUAGGCGGUCCAGCAAGUCGGGUGUGAAAGCCCUCGGCUUAACCGAGGAAGUGCAUUCGAAACUACUGGACUUGAGUACUGAAGAGGAUCGCGGAAUUCCCGGUGUAGAGGUGAAAUGCGUAGAUAUUGGGAGGAACACCAGUGGCGAAGGCGGCUCACUGGACCGGUUCUGACGCUGAGGCGCGAAAGCGUGGGGAGCAAACGGG
rnacentral:rRNA from 1 species